rnacentral:rRNA from 1 species
CCCUUAGAUGUUCUGGGCCGCACGCGCGCUACACUGACAGGGUCAGCGAGUGCUCCUGCGUCGAAAGGCGUGGGUAAUCUUUGAAACCUUGUCGUGCUGGGGAUAGAUCCUUGCAAUUAUUAAUCUUGAACGAGGAAUUCCUAGUAAACGCAAGUCAUCAGCUUGCAUUGAUUACGUCCCUGCCCUUUGUACACACCGCCCGUCGCACCUACCGAUUGAAUGACUCGGUGAAACAUUGGGACCACGAGGUCACUUGCUUCAUUGCGAGAGACUUUGAGGGAACUUUAGUAAACCUAUUCAUUUAGAGGAAGGUGAAGUCGUAACA